ensembl:snRNA U6 U6 spliceosomal RNA
GUACUCACUUUGGCAACGCAUACACUAAAACUGGAACGAUCUAGAGAAGAUUGGCCUGGCCCUGUGCAGUGAUGAUCUGCAAACUCACGAAGUGUUCCAGGUUUUU